GAUGAAGAACGCAGCGAAAUGCGAUACGUAAUGUGAAUUGCAAAUUCAGUGAAUCAUCGAGUCUUUGAACGCACAUUGCGCCCCCUGGUAUUCCGGGGGGCAUGCCUGUCCGAGCGUCAUUGCUGCCCUCAAGCACGGCUUGUGUGUUGGGCCUCCGCCCCCCGGCUCCCGGGGGGCGGGCCCGAAAGGCAGCGGCGGCACCGCGUCCGGUCCUCGAGCGUAUGGGGCUUCGUCACCCGCUCCGUAGGCCCGGCCGGCGCCCGCCGGCGACCCCCCUCAAUCUUUCCAGGUUGACCUCGGAUCAGGUAGGGAUACCCGCUGAACUUAAGCAUAUCAAUAAGCGGAGGA
rnacentral:misc_RNA from 1 species